CGCUGGCGGCGUGCCUAAUACAUGCAAGUAGAACGCUGAAGAGAGGAGCUUGCUCUUCUUGGAUGAGUUGCGAACGGGUGAGUAACGCGUAGGUAACCUGCCUGGUAGCGGGGGAUAACUAUUGGAAACGAUAGCUAAUACCGCAUAAAAUUGAUUAUUGCAUGAUAAUUAAUUGAAAGAUGCAAUUGCAUCACUACCAGAUGGACCUGCGUUGUAUUAGCUAGUUGGUGAGGUAACGGCUCACCAAGGCGACGAUACAUAGCCGACCUGAGAGGGUGAUCGGCCACACUGGGACUGAGACACGGCCCAGACUCCUACGGGAGGCAGCAGUAGGGAAUCUUCGGCAAUGGGGGGAACCCUGACCGAGCAACGCCGCGUGAGUGAAGAAGGUUUUCGGAUCGUAAAGCUCUGUUGUAAGAGAAGAACGGGUGUGAGAGUGGAAAGUUCACACUGUGACGGUAUCUUACCAGAAAGGGACGGCUAACUAC
rnacentral:rRNA from 1 species